rnacentral:rRNA from 1 species
CAGCCGCCGCGGUAAUACCGGCGGCCCGAGUGGCGGUCACUAUUAUUGGGCUUAAAGCGUCCGUAGCCGGGUUGGGAAGUCCUCCGGGAAAUCUGGCCGCUUAACGGUCAGAAUGCCGGAGGAUACUCCCAGCCUAGGGAGCGGGAGAGGCCGAGGGGAUUCCCGGAGUAGGGGUGAAAUCCUAUAAUCCCGGGAGGACCACCUGUGGCGAAGGCGCUCGGCUGGAACGCGCCCGACGGUGAGGGGCGAAAGCCGGGGGAGCGAACCGGAUUAGAUACCCGGGUAGUCCCGGCUGUAAACGAUGCGGGCUAGCUGUUGGGUGGGCUUAGAGCCCACCCAGUGGCGCAGGGAAGCCGUUAAGCCCGCCGCCUGGGGAGUACGGCCGCAAGGCUGAAACUUAAAGGAAUUGGCGGG